rnacentral:rRNA from 1 species
UGUGAUCCCUCGGGGUGAACUUGUCGCUGUCGAGUGGCGGACGGGUGAGUAAUGCUUAGGAAUCUGCCUAGUAGUGGGGGACAACAGCCGGAAACGGCUGCUAAUACCGCAUACGCCCUACGGGGGAAAGCGGGGGAUCUUCGGACCUCGCGCUAUUAGAUGAGCCUAAGUCGGAUUAGCUUGUUGGUGGGGUAAAGGCCUACCAAGGCGACGAUCCGUAGCUGGUCUGAGAGGAUGAUCAGCCACACUGGGACUGAGACACGGCCCAGACUCC